CGGACUGCAGUCUGCAACUCGACUGCACGAAGUCGGAAUUGCUAGUAAUCGCGGAUCAGCAUGCCGCGGUGAAUACGUUCCCGGGUCUUGUACACACCGCCCGUCACACCAUGAGAGCCGGAAACACCCGAAGUCCGUAGCCUAACCGCAAGGGGGCGCGGCCGAAGGUGGGUUUGGUAAUUGGGUGAAGUCGUAACAAGGUACC
rnacentral:rRNA from 1 species